UACGGGGGGGGGCAAGCGUUGUUCGGAAUUACUGGGCGUAAAGGGCGCGUAGGCGGCCUUCUAAGUCGAACGUGAAAUCCCCGGGCUCAACCCGGGAACUGCGUCCGAUACUGGAAGGCUUGAAUCCGGGAGAGGGAUGCGGAAUUCCAGGUGUAGCGGUGAAAUGCGUAGAUAUCUGGAGGAACACCGGUGGCGAAGGCGGCUCUCUGGGACGGUACUGACGCUGAGACGCGGAAAGCGGUGGGGAGCGAACAGGA
rnacentral:rRNA from 1 species